CACGUAGGGCGCAAGCGUUGUCCGGAAUUAUUGGGCGUAAAGAGCUCGUAGGCGGACUGUCACGUCUGCUGUGAAAAGCUAGGGCUUAACCCUGGCCUUGCAGUGGAUACGGGCAGACUAGAGGUAGGUAGGGGAGAAUGGAAUUCCCGGUGUAGCGGUGAAAUGCGCAGAUAUCGGGAGGAACACCGGUGGCGAAGGCGGUUCUCUGGGCCUUACCUGACGCUGAGGAGCGAAAGCGUGGGGAGCAAACAGG
rnacentral:rRNA from 1 species